rnacentral:rRNA from 1 species
CGGACGACGCUGGCGGCGUGCCUAACACAUGCAAGUCGAACGGAGAAUUUAUUCGGUAGGAUUCUUAGUGGCGAACGGGUGAGUAACGCGUAGGCAACCUGCCCUUAGACGGGGACAACAUUCCGAAAGGAGUGCUAAUACCGGAUGAGAUCAUUUCCCGCAUGGGAGAGUGAAGAAAGAUGGCCUCUACAUGUAAGCUAUCGCUAAAGGAUGGGCCUGCGUCUGAUUAGCUAGUUGGUAGUGUAACGGACUACCAAGGCGAUGAUCAGUAGCCGGUCUGAGAGGAUGAACGGCCACAUUGGGACUGAGACACGGCCCAAACUCCUACGGGAGGCAGCAGUGGGGAAUCUUCCGCAAUGGACGAAAGUCUGACGGAGCAACGCCGCGUGAGUGAUGAAGGAUUUCGGUCCUGUAAAACUCUGUUGUUUAUGACGAACGUGCAGUGUGUGAACAAUGCAUUGCAAUGACGGUAGUAAACGAGGAAGCCACGGCUAACUACGUGCCAGCCGCAGC